GUACUUUUGUAGUUUAUAAGCAGGAUGAUUGGAUUUUCACACGCCUACGUGAGCUGUGCCUCCCUCAAACCUUGUUACUACAGGGGCACAUCACCUAUCGGACG